rnacentral:rRNA from 1 species
UACGAAGGGGGCUAGCGUUACUCGGAAUGACUGGGCGUAAAGGGCGCGUAGGCGGUUUGUUUAGUUAGGCGUGAAAUUCCUGGGCUCAACCUGGGGGCUGCGCUUAAUACAGGCAGACUAGAGUGUGAAAGAGGGUCGUGGAAUUUCCAGUGUAGAGGUGAAAUUCGUAGAUAUUGGAAAGAACACCGGUGGCGAAAGGCGGCGA